CUCAAAUGAUCAUGACUUUUGCUUGUAGUAAAAUGAUCAAUGAAUCAAUCAAUCAAUCAAUCAAUCAAUCAAUCAAUCAAUCAAUCAAUUGAUCAAUCAAUAAAAUUGAGAAUGGAAAUAAAAAAUGUGUCAAAGAAACAACAGUCAGCCUAACCAAAGAGCACAGCCGAAGGCCACCAAUGAGUCUUCAACACAACGAGAAAAUCCGGGCUUCAGCUGGUCUCUAAAUAAAAAUAUAUACUAGUAAUGUGAAAAUGGACGUCACACUUAACUUAGACAAAAAAAAAAAACAUAAAAAAACUAACAAAGAUCAGAGUCUACUGUCUUGGGACAGGCGCAAAAAUACGGCGGGGCUAAACAUGCUUUGUUAGAUCUCAACCCUCCCGCUAUACAAUUAUAUCUAGCUCAUGUAGAAUAAACAAACACACAACAAUAUGCACAGAGAAAACUCAGUUUAAAAGAAAUCCGAGUCCGAUGACAAAAUAGUAAACAAAAGAA
rnacentral:lncRNA from 1 species